rnacentral:rRNA from 1 species
UACGGGGGGUGCGAGCGUUGUCCGGAAUCACUGGGCGUAAAGGGCGCGUAGGUGGCGUCGUAAGUCUGUGGUGAAAGCCCGGAGCUCAACUCCGGGUCUGCCGCGGAUACUGCGAGGCUUGAGUGCCGUAGAGGGGGGUAGAAUGCCGGGUGUAGCGGUGGAAUGCGUAGAGAUCCGGCAGAAGACCGGUGGCGAAGGCGGCCCCCUGGGCAGUAACUGACACUGAGGCGCGACAGCGUGGGGAGCAAACAGG